rnacentral:misc_RNA from 1 species
GUGAAUUAUAGGGCGUCUACUUCGGUAGGGCCUGACCUCCACUUUCUAACUCUGUGCACUCAUUUGGCGGAAAAGGGAAUUAGUAACUUGUCUAAUGACGAUUACGACUUCUUACUUUCUGCGGCUUACUUUAAACACUAGUCAAAGUAUGUAACGAAAUAUCGAAACAAAUAA